GGAAGCGCCAGGGGCCUGGUGGCCCCCCCGGGCUUCAAACCCGGUGCACCGUCGGAGACGGCGGUGGGUGGGUUCGAUUCCCAUGCGCUUCC
rfam:Thermosulfurimonas dismutans strain S95 contig00001, whole genome shotgun sequence.